ACGGCUCAGUAACACGUGGACAACCUACCCUUAGGUCGGGGAUAAACCCGGGAAACUGGGUAUAAUACCCGAUAGAUCUCGACUGCUGGAAUGCAUCGAGCUCUAAAGCUCCGGCGCCUAAGGAUGGGUCUGCGGCCUAUCAGGUAGUAGUGGGUGUAGCGUACCUACUAGCCUACGACGGGUACGGGUUGUGAGAGCAAGAGCCCGGAGAUGGAUUCUGAGACACGAAUCCAGGCCCUACGGGGUGCAGCAGGCGCGAAAACUUUACAAUGCCGGCAACGGCGAUAAGGGGACCUCGAGUGCCAGGUUACAAAUCUGGCUGUCGUGAUGCCUAAAAAGCAUUGCAUAGCAAGGGCCGGGCAAGACCGGUGCCAGCCGCCGCGGUAACACCGGCGGCUCGAGUGGUAACCGUUAUUAUUGGGUCUAAAGGGUCUGUAGCCGGCCGGAUAAGUCUCUUGGGAAAUCCAGCAGCUCAACUGUUGGGCUUUCAGGAGAUACUGUUCGGCUCGAGGCCGGGAGAGGUGAGAGGUACUUCAGGGGUAGGGGUGAAAUCUUGUAAUCCUUGAAGGACCACCAGUGGCGAAGGCGUCUCACCAGAACGGACCUGACGGCAAGGGACGAAAGCUAGGGGCACGAACCGGAUUAGAUACCCGGGUAGUCCUAGCCGUAAACGAUACUCGCUAGGUGUCGGCCACGGUGCGACCGUUGUCGGUGCCGUAGGGAAGCCGUGAAGCGAGCCACCUGGGAAGUACGGCCGCAAGGCUGAAACUUAAAGGAAUUGGCGGGGGAGCACCACAACGGGUGGAGCUUGCGGUUUAAUUGGAUUCAACGCCGGG
rnacentral:rRNA from 1 species